rnacentral:lncRNA from 1 species
UCCAAUUAAACCAUUACAGAGGAAGGGAUUGAGGUAAUCUUACAUAGAUUGGACGACGACAAUGUCGUUUCUUGUAGCCACCAGUCGUGGCAAUCCUCUUCGCCCUUAGUUUUCAUUGUUUCACCUUUUUUUUUUUAACAUGAACAAUAAUCACACCAUUAGUGCAUAAGAGAAGGAAAAGGAAAUGAAGGAAGGCGAAUGGGCUUACUGAAAUUGGGUCCAGCUUCCGAUCGUAGACAUGCACCUCCUCCCUCUC